UUCAAUGAGAGUUUGAUCAUAGCUCAGGAUGAACGUUGGCUGUGUGCCUAAGGUAUGCAAGUCGAACGAUCCCUGUUGAUUUCUUGAGACUUCGGUUGAUAGAUUUCUUUUUGGGAUAGUGGCAAACGGGUGCGUAACACGUGGAUAACCUGCCUUAAAGUCAUGAACAGCUCAUCGAAAGAUGGGAUAAUACAUGAUAGUCUUACAUUUCUUUUUGUUUUGUAAGUAAAGCUCCGGCGCUUUAAGAGGGGUCCGCGUCCUAUCAGCUUGUUGGUGAUGUAAUGGCUCACCAAGGCUAAGACGGGUAGCUGGCGUGAGAGCGCGGUCAGCCACCAUGGAACUGAGACACGG
rnacentral:rRNA from 1 species